UUAGCUCAUAUUUGUAUGGAACGGGAUCGUUUGCGUACGUUUGCCGCUAGGGGCGCUGUUCCAACUGCAUACAAAAAUGGCUUA
rnacentral:pre_miRNA from 1 species